CCGGUACUCAUUAAGGCUGAGCUGUGAUGGGGAGAAGACAUUGUGUCUUCGAGUCGUUGAUUUCACACUGCCGAGAAAAGCCUCUAGAUAGAAAAUAGGUGCCCGUACCGCAAACCGACACAGGUAGUCAAGAUGAGAAUUCUAAGGUGAGCGAGCGAACUCUCGUUAAGGAACUCGGCAAAAUGACCCCGUAACUUCGGGAGAAGGGGUGCUCUUUAGGGUUAACGCCCAGAAGAGCCGCAGUGAAUAGGCCCAAGCGACUGUUUAUCAAAAACACAGGUCUCUGCUAAACCGUAAGGUGAUGUAUAGGGGCUGACGCCUGCCCGGUGCUGGAAGGUUAAGAGGAGUGGUUAGCUUCUGCGAAGCUACGAAUCGAAGCCCCAGUAAACGGCGGCCGUAACUAUAACGGUCCUAAGGUAGCGAAAUUCCUUGUCGGGUAAGUUCCGACCCGCACGAAAGGCGUAACGAUUUGGGCACUGUCUCAACGAGAGACUCGGUGAAAUCAUAGUACCUGUGAAGAUGCAGGUUACCCGCGACAGGACGGAAAGACCCCGUGGAGCUUUACUGUAGCCUGAUAUUGAAAUUCGGCACAGCUUGUACAGGAUAGGUAGGAGCCUUUGAAACGUGAGCGCUAGCUUACGUGGAGGCGCUGGUGGGAUACUACCCUAGCUGUGUUGGCUUUCUAACCCGCACCACUUAUCGUGGUGGGAGACAGUGUCAGGCGGGCAGUUUGACUGGGGCGGUCGCCUCCUAAAAGGUAACGGAGGCGCUCAAAGGUUCCCUCAGAAUGGUUGGAAAUCAUUCAUAGAGUGUAAAGGCAUAAGGGAGCUUGACUGCGAGACCUACAAGUCGAGCAGGGUCGAAAGACGGACUUAGUGAU
rnacentral:rRNA from 1 species